GACUACCGGGGUAUCUAAUCCUGUUUGCUACCCACGCUUUCGAACCUCAGCGUCAGUUACAGACCAGAGAGCCGCUUUCGCCACUGGUGUUCUUCCAUAUAUCUACGCAUUUCACCGCUACACAUGGAGUUCCACUCUCCUCUUCUGCACUCAAGUCUCCCAGUUUCCAAUGCACUACUCCGGUUAAGCCGAAGGCUUUCACAUCAGACUUAAAAGACCGCCUGCGUUCCCUUUACGCCCAAUAAAUCCGGAUAACGCUUGCCACCUACGUAUUACCGCGGCUGCUGGCACGUAGUUAGCCGUGGCUUUCUGGUUAGAUACCGUCGAAACGUGAACAGUUACUCUCACGCACUUUCUUCUCUAACAACAGGGUUUUACGAUCCGAAGACCUUCUUCACCCACGCGGCGUUGCUCCAUCAGGCUUUCGCCCAUUGUGGAAGAUUCCCUACUGCUGCCCCCCGUAGG
rnacentral:rRNA from 1 species